rnacentral:lncRNA from 1 species
GGGAUCCUCAGCAUUCUGCUCUUCAUGCUGGUCAUCGUCUGGCAGUCUGUGUUUAACAAGCGGAAAUCCAGAGUGAGACAUUAUUUGGUGAAAUGCCCUCAGAACAGGUAAGAAUAUUUUCUUCCUUUUUUCAGAUGAAACUCUUUGCCAUUUAACUUUCUUUUGAUAUUACCAAUAAAUUGAUUAAAUUUGUAGUUUUACCUAAAAGUCUGCAUAUUUGUCCACAAAUAUGCCUGCAAAUGUGUAUCCUGCAUGCAUUUGCAUGUUUCCAAGGUCUACAGUCUGGUUUUCACCCCCAGGGAUCCAGAGAGCAUGCAGCUUUUGCUGGCCCAGCAGGCUUGCUGGAGGAGGCUUGGUGUAUGGUCCUGCAGAGCUGCUCCCCAGUUUAGGAAGGGGCUCACACUUGCUCUGAACCACUUUGAUACAUUUUGACCACAAACACCCCCAAUUCUCUUCACCAAUGCUGACUUACUGUAUGCCCUGCUUUUAGCUGGUGAGGCACACUUUAUAGGUAACAUAAUAGUUAUAAGAGAUAGUGCUAAUUCAAAGCGUUUAAAAAUUUGGGACUUCUGAUCCAGACAAGAUGGCAUAGGUCAAUUUCUUCCUUCUCUUUCCUGCUGAGUAAAGCUUUAAACCUUGGAAAUAACAUAAGAGACAAC